GAUCUACCCCGGGGCCCAGACUUCAGGGGCCUUCACGAUGCCGGCGGUUUGAGUACAAGCUCAGCUUCAAAGGCCCAAGGCUGGCAUUGCCUGGGGCUGGAAUACCCUUCUGGAGCCAUCAUGGAGACGCCAUCCUGGGCCUGGAGGAAGUGCGGCUGACGCCAUCCAUGAGGAACCGGAGUGGCGCCGUGUGGAGCAGGGCCUCUGUCCCCUUCUCUGCCUGGGAAGUAGAGGUGCAGAUGAGGGUGACGGGACUGGGGCGCCGGGGAGCCCAGGGCAUGGACAGUCCUGCCAUCCGUGUGCUGGCCAGCGACGGGCACAUCCCCUCUGAGCAGCCUGGGGAUGGAGCUAGCCAAGUGCUGGGCUCCUGUCAUUGGGACUUCCGGAACCGGCCACACCCCUUCAGAGCACGGAUCACCUACUGGGGGCAGAGGCUGCGCGUGUCCUUGAACAGUGGCCUCACUCACAGUGAUCCAGAUGAGUUCUGUGUGGAUGUGGGGCCCCUGCUUUUGGUCCCUGGAGGCUUCUUUGGGGUCUCAGCAGCCACCGGCACCCUGGCAGGUGAGGAUCCCACUGGGCAGGUAAGAGCAGAAGGGCAGUGAUGAAUAAAUCACCCUCAGCACACCUUCUAAAGAGCACUGGGGUGGCGUCAGCCACUUCACCACAUGACCUGGGCUUCUGUGACCCUUGGGAGAAGUCAUGUCUGCCUUGAGACUUGCAAGUCUCAAAUGGGAUAAAACAAGAGAAGCUUUGAUUUCAGUGCUGGCCACAUAUAAGUGCCCCUAGCUGUGAGUUGUGGGACAAGUGGAAGACAGACAGCAAGGAGGGGCAUUUAGGAAAAUGGAGCAAAGAAAUGUGAUGCCAUGGAGAGUCCACGGAGGGUCCCACAGCGGGAAAGCCGAGGGCAACCAGAGCGUGGGAGUCCUUGAAUGCUAGGACCUUGGUCUGGUUUCUGAGGAGGAGAGUGACAUGGUCAGAGCUAUGCUGGAAAGGUGGCCACUGUGCAGUUGCUACUACCAGUAGCAGCUGUGCUCUGGGGGCCUAAGAGUGUCAGAUGGUCUGCUGCCAUGGCUCUAGCCCAGGAUGUUUUGGGAUCGUCCAGUUCUGCCACAGGGGCCUGCCUCUGACUGAGUGUGAGGUUCAACCCUCACCACCCACCCAUCUACCUGUCAACCCUCACACCUUUCCUAGGAAGUAAGCAGGACAAGCAUCAGAUGGUGGCCCAAAGUCACCCCUCUUGCCUCGGUGGGAUAUCAUGGCGGUGA
rnacentral:sRNA from 1 species